ACAGAUCAGACCGUGAAUGAUGAUGAGGCCGAUGAAGAGACCUGUAAAGAUGACGCCCUUCCACGAAACAAACACAAUGCACGGAGGAAAGCCCUUAUGGAAAAAUACUGGAGGCUUCGGGAGGCAAUUGCAAAAAAAGAAGAGGAAUUUAAAAAACAGACCCGGGUCCUCAGUAUGUUUACGAAGGUCAUCAUUGAUGACCCUCCUGAACCUUUCGUGGCAAGUGGAGACCUAAGAGGUCUCAAUGAAGCCUAAAUGUGUGUUGUGUUUUUAUUUAUAUUUGUUCAUAGAUUUGUAAGAUUAAUAUCAGUUUGUUUUGU